UCUCAAAAAACAAUGAGAGAAAUCAGAAACAAAGAGGUAAACGGAUGCCGCGCCGAAAACAUUCUGCCGGCUUCCUGCCAUCCCAGACUCGACAAACGGAGCCUUUGCGCCGUCACGGUGUUUACGAUUAAUUUAAUAUUCCCGUCUGGAGUUGUUCUGCAGUUGUCUGGAGUUCCCGCCCUCCUCCGCCUCGGCGGUGCUGGGGAGCGUCAGGGAGCCCAAGGUCUCCCUGGCGAGCGUCGCGGGGCUCAUGGGUUCCGGCAGGGCGUCUCGGCUCCCUCGGGGCGCCCAUGGCGGUGCCGUAGAUCCCUAGUGUCCAGGGACGGGGGAUGGGAGUGCGUUUGGUGUUGUGUGUUGGUGUGGGCGGGUCUUUUCUGGGGUGAAGGAGACUCAUUCGUAUCAGCACACAGCACCAAGGAAAGGCGAUUUCAGAACAACUCCACGACAGGGAUAUUACAGAAGAAACACCGAAAAUAAGGAAAAUAAACCAAAAGAACAUCAGAAAUAGGAUAACACAUGAGAGGAAUCCCAGGAAAUAGAUAAAAUAGAAGCACAGAUGAGAAAAGGAAAAAUAAAACAAAAACACAUUAAAAAAAUCCAGCAUGAAGGCCUUUGGUGUGGUAUAUUGGUAUGGGUGAGCCUUCUCUGGGGUGAAGGAGACUCAGCUGUAGCAAGAUACGGCACCAAGAAAAGCCGAUAUAGAAACAACACCAGAAAAAGGCAAAUGAAGAAAGAGAAAACCAGCACAAGGAAAAUACAGAAAAAAGAACACCAGAAAAAAAAAUACGAUAGAAA